CCACGCCUCUCUUUUCUCACUCUUCUC
rnacentral:piRNA from 1 species